UAGGGAAUCUUCCACAAUGGACGAAAGUCUGAUGGAGCAACGCCGCGUGAGUGAAGAAGGGUUUCGGCUCGUAAAGCUCUGUUGGUAGUGAAGAAAGAUAGAGGUAGUAACUGGCCUUUAUUUGACGGUAAUUACUUAGAAAGUCACGGCUAACUACGUGCCAGCAGCCGCGGUAAUACGUAGGUGGCAAGCGUUGUCCGGAAUUAUUGGGCGUAAAGGGAGCGCAGGUGGGAAAGUAAGUCAGUCUUAAAAGUUCGGGGCUCAACCCCGUGAUGGGAUUGAAACUACUUUUCUUGAGUGCAGGAGAGGAAAGCGGAAUUCCUAGUGUAGCGGUGAAAUGCGUAGAUAUUAGGAGGAACACCAGUGGCGAAGGCGGCUUUCUGGACUGUAACUGACACUGAGGCUCGAAAGCGUGGGGAGCGAACAGGAUUAGAUACCCUGGUAGU
rnacentral:rRNA from 1 species